rnacentral:sRNA from 1 species
UUUCUUAGCAUUCAGAACUUCAGAAAUUCGUACAAUCAAAUUUUGUGUUUAUAAAUUCUGAAAAAAUAUAUUUUUCUUAUAGAGUAAAAGGGUUUACUAUAUUCGUAAAGAAGGGGACACUCGGCGGGACAAGGCGGUACACAGUGGGACAUAACGGGAAUCGGCAGGACAUCUAGGGAUCCGACGCAUGAUUAUAAGUGUGGUCUUCACUGGAAUACCUUUUAAAAAUGUUCCAUUUUCCUGCGCUUUUCCUCGCCAUGACGAAGCCAGCUGAAGAGGACGGGAUUGUGAGUUGGGUGCAGCAGCUGCAUAUGCAGCUUACGCCCUGAAAUAUCAACUAACCAGAAUACAAAAUAAUGUAUUGAAUAGAGGAAAAGCACUAGAAGAAAUAUGAAACGACAGGCGAGGCGAGGCAUAACGAGACUGUGAACUGAAUUUAAUUAGGUUUUGGAGUGUGGAUUGCAGUCUACAGUGGCAAAAGGAAACAGAAACAGCAUUUUAAAUAUAUAAUUACUAUUUUGAAAAUUUUCAAAAUAGUAAAAUUCACCUUACGCCGGACCAACUAGGAGGCUAUAUUAAAUAUUGUUUUACUUUUAUAAAUACAAGAUUUACUCAGAA